rnacentral:rRNA from 1 species
ACGGAAGGCGGCAGUGAGGAAUAUUGGUCAAUGGAGGCAACUCUGAACCAGCCAUCUCGCGUGAAGGAAUACGGCCCUACGGGUCUUAAACUUCUUUUAUAGGGGGAUAAAGUGAGCCACGUGUGGCUUUUUGUAGGUACCCUAUGAGUAAGCAUCGGCUAACUCCGUGCCAGCAGCCGCGGUAAUACGGAGGAUGCGAGCGUUAUCCGGAUUUAUUGGGUUUAAAGGGUGCGCAGGCGGCACGUUAAGUCAGCUGUGAAAUGUCGGGGCUCAACCCGGGCACUGCCGUUGAAACUGGCGAGCUUGAGUACGGAUGAAGUCGGCGGAAUGUGAUGUGUAGCGGUGAAAUGCAUAGGUAUGUCACAGAACACCGAUUGCGAAGGCAGCCGGCCAAUCCGCAACUGACGCUCAUGCACGAAAGCGUGGGGAUCGAACAGGAUUAGAUACCCUGGUA